rnacentral:tmRNA from 1 species
GGGGGCGAAAAGGGCUCGACGGGGAUAGGUAGGGUUAAAUCGCAGGCCGUGGUCGCACUCGCCACGUUAAAAAGGGUGCAAAAACACAAUUGCCAACGAAUACGCUUACGCUCAGGCUGCUUAAUUAAGUGCAGCCUCGUUCCUUGAGUGCUUUGCCUUCCGGCCUCAAGGGGCGUGACCAAGGAAGGCUCUGGGGAUUCCUGGUGGCAAGACAGGAAUUUCCAAGAUACCUCUUGCCUGGUAGAGGGCUUCGGUGCCUGUGACGAGCUCUCUACGAGAUUCCUCCACAGGCUAAGCCUGUAGUGGUUUAAUCUGAACUAUCUUCGGACGCGGGUUCAAUUCCCGCCGCCUCCACCA